rnacentral:rRNA from 1 species
UACGUAGGGGGCUAGCGUUGUCCGGAUUUAUUGGGCGUAAAGAGCGUGUAGGCGGCCAGGUAGGUCUGCUGUGAAAACUCGAGGCUCAACCUCGAGACGUCGGCGGAAACCAUCUGGCUAGAGUCCGGAAGAGGAGAGUGGAAUUCCUGGUGUAGCGGUGAAAUGCGUAGAUAUCUGGAGGAACACCGGUGGCGAAGGCGGCGUCCUGGACCAACACUGACACUGAUGAGCGAAAGCCAGGGGAGCAAACGGG